UGGGGAAUUUUGGACAAUGGGCGCAAGCCUGAUCCAGCCAUGCCGCGUGCGGGAAGAAGGCCUUCGGGUUGUAAACCGCUUUUGUCAGGGAAGAAAUCUUCUGAGUUAAUACCUCGGGAGGAUGACGGUACCUGAAGAAUAAGCACCGGCUAACUACGUGCCAGCAGCCGCGGUAAUACGUAGGGUGCAAGCGUUAAUCGGAAUUACUGGGCGUAAAGCGUGCGCAGGCGGUUUUGUAAGACAGAGGUGAAAUCCCCGGGCUCAACCUGGGAACUGCCUUUGUGACUGCAAGGCUUGAGUGCGGCAGAGGGGGAUGGAAUUCCGCGUGUAGCAGUGAAAUGCGUAGAUAUGCGGAGGAACACCGAUGGCGAAGGCAAUCCCCUGGGCCUGCACUGACGCUCAUGCACGAAAGCGUGGGGAGCAAACAGGAUUAGAUACCCUGGUAGUCCACGCCCUAAAACGAUGUCAACUGGUUGUUGGGAAGGUUCCUUCUCAGUAACGUAGCUAACGCGUGAAGUUGACCGCCUGGGGAGUACGGCCGCAAGGUUGAAACUUAAAUGAAUUGACGGGGUCAUAGC
rnacentral:rRNA from 1 species